rnacentral:rRNA from 1 species
ACGAAGGGGGCAAGCGUUGUUCGGAAUUACUGGGCGUAAAGGGCGCGUAGGCGGCCCGUUUAGUCAGAUGUGAAAGCCCCGGGCUCAACCUGGGAAUGGCGAUGGAUACUGGGCAGCUAGAGUGUGUCAGAGGAUGGUGGAAUUCCCGGUGUAGCGGUGAAAUGCGUAGAGAUCGGGAGGAACACCGGUGGCGAAGGCGGCCAGCUGGCGCUGACCUGACGCUGAGGCGCGAAGGCGUGGGGAGCGAACGGGA